rnacentral:rRNA from 1 species
UGCAAGUCGAACGCUGAAGCACCUUCGGGUGUGGAUGAGUGGCGAACGGGUGAGUAACACGUGGGUAAUCUGCCCUGCACUCUGGGAUAAGCCUUGGAAACGAGGUCUAAUACCGGAUAUCACCACUUCAGGCAUCUGUAGUGGUUGAAAGUUCUGGCGGUGCAGGAUGAACCCGCGGCCUAUCAGCUUGUUGGUGGGGUAGUGGCCUACCAAGGCGACGACGGGUAGCCGGCCUGAGAGGGUGACCGGCCACACUGGGACUGAGACACGGCCCAGACUCCUACGGGAGGCAGCAGUGGGGAAUAUUGCACAAUGGGCGAAAGCCUGAUGCAGCGACGCCGCGUGAGGGAUGACGGCCUUCGGGUUGUAAACCUCUUUCGCCAGGGACGAAGCGCAAGUGACGGUACCUGGAUAAGAAGCACCGGCUAACUACGUGCCAGCAGCCGCGGUAAUACGUAGGGUGCGAGCGUUGUCCGGAUUUAUUGGGCGUAAAGAGCUCGUAGGCGGUUUGUCGCGUCGGCCGUGAAAUCUCCACGCUUAACGUGGAGCGUGCGGUCGAUACGGGCAGACUUGAGUUCGGUAGGGGAGACUGGAAUUCCUGGUGUAGCGGUGAAAUGCGCAGAUAUCAGGAGGAACACCGGUGGCGAAGGCGGGUCUCUGGGCCGAUACUGACGCUGAGGAGCGAAAGCGUGGGGAGCGAACAGGAUUAGAUACCCUGGUAGUCCACGCUGUAAACGUUGGGCGCUAGGUGUGGGCGACAUCCACGUUGUCCGUGCCGUAGCUAACGCAUUAAGCGCCC